GGGCGGGUGGCGGAACUGGCAGACGCGUACGGCUCAGGACCGUAUGCCGCAAGGCUUAAGGGUUCGACUCCCUUCCCGCCCA
rnacentral:tRNA from 1 species